rnacentral:rRNA from 1 species
UGCAGUCGAGCGCGUCCUNCAUCACGAGCGGCAGACGGGAGAGUUCACGUGGGAACGUACCCUUCGGUUCGGAAUAACCCAGGGAAACUUGGACUAAUACCGGACACGUCCGAAAGGAGAAAGAUUUAUCGCCGAAGGAUCGGCCCGCGGCUGAUUAGCUAGUUGGUGAGGUAACGGCUCACCAAGGCGACGAUCGGUAGCUGGUCUGAGAGGAUGACCAGCCUCACUGGGACUGAGACACGGCCCAGACUCCUACGGGAGGCAGCAGUGGG